UACAGAGGGGGCAAGCGUUGUUCGGAAUUACUGGGCGUAAAGGGCGCGUAGGCGGCCUUCUAAGUCGAACGUGAAAUCCCCGGGCUCAACCCGGGAACUGCGUCCGAUAUUGGAAGGCUUGAAUCCGGGAGAGGGAUGCGGAAUUCCAGGUGUAGCGGUGAAAUGCGUAGAUAUCUGGAGGAACACCGGGUGGCGAAGGCGGCAAUCCUGGGACGUGACUGACGCUGAGACGCGAAAGCGUGGGGAGCGAACGGG
rnacentral:rRNA from 1 species